rnacentral:rRNA from 1 species
UGGCGAACGGGUGAGUAACACGUGGGUGAUCUGCCCUGCACUCUGGGAUAAGCCUGGGAAACUGGGUCUAAUACCGGAUAGGACCAUGCUUUAGUGUGUGUGGUGGAAAGUUUUUUCGGUGUAGGAUGAGCCCGCGGCCUAUCAGCUUGUUGGUGGGGUAAUGGCCUACCAAGGCGGCGACAGGUAGCCGGACUGAGAGGUUGGUCGGCCACAUUGGGACUGAGAUACGGCCCAG